AUUAGAUGAAGAAACAAUAAUUGUAAAAAAAAUGCUAAUAAUAUAUCAAUAAAACAAAAUGGCGAUAGUAGAAAAAUAAAUCUUAAAGGUAAUAUAUUAAUACAUUACAACAAUUGCACUAUAAAUACUUUAGAUCAAGAAUUUUGCAAUACCAAAGACAUUAUAAAAGAAAGAUUUUAUUAUCCAAAUAUACAAACAAAUAACUUUACAGAUAAAUUAACAUUUGAAGAAUUUGUAACAAAAUAUGAAAACAAUAUAAAUAAAAUAGAAGAAAGCAAUAAUAAAAAAUUUGAAGCAGUAAAAAUUAGUAUUGUUACUCUAAUUGGUAGUAAAAUUUUAACAAUUAUCAUAACAAUUUUUAUAAUAAAAUGUAUAAAAAAUAAAGUAUGUAAAAGAAUUCAGGAGAAUUCUAAAAUAAAGGAGGGAGAAGUUAUGUAUAAGGAUAACGUUGAUAAUAGUAACAUUAUACCUCCUAAAAAUAAUGAUAACAAACUAAAUCAUGAAUCAACAUGUUGUCAAAACAAUUAUGCUGAAAUACUAUCAGCAAUUAACAAAAAUGUAAAUAAACAAAGUAAUAAAAUGUAAGACAUGUUUACUCUUGAUAUUGAAAAAUAUUAUUAUUAGUUUAAGGAAAUGAUUAAAAUAUAAUUGAGACAAAGAAGAAGUUCUUUGUCUGAUAACCAUUAGAAAGUAAUUAAGACAAAGAAGAAUGUCUUUGUCUGAUAAUUAGUUUUUGUUAAACAAAAUUCUGAUAAAAUAUCUGUUAGAGAUGUUCACAGAAAAUAUUAUCUGAAAAACAGAUUUAAGUAGCAAAGACUCAAUAGUAUAAAUAGAGAGGAAAAAUAGUUUUAAGUUCAGUUCAUAUUUGAUAGUCGGUACGACAAGUUCCAAAAUUGUUAAUCUUUAGUUGUAAUUUCCAUUAAAUAAAUAAAUAAAAUAUAAAAAACAAAUUUAAUUGUUUUUUUUUUUUUAAAUUAAGCCCGAGAUUAAUUAUUUAAUUCGCGAGUUACAUCCUUAACCAACCAUGAAAUAAAAGAGAUAAUAAAUAUCAUUGAAGCAAGUAGGUAAAUAAUGAUAACAGACAUAAAGAAACAAAGAAAGACAUGUUUUUACAACUAUUGUAGUUAUCAGGUAAAUAAUAGAUUCUAAUGUACAAAAACAUGUCUCAACAAGAAAGUAAUUAAAUCAAAAGAUAAUAAUGUGUCUGUUAUCAAAUAUUAAAUAGUUUAAAGAAGAGACAAAGAAAUUAAUUUCUUUGUCUUCAUAACACAAUAACAAAGAAAUUAAAUAUAGAUUAAGAAUAUUUUAGUUAUAAAUAGAUGUAAUGUCAGAACAAUAUUUUAGUCUAAGUUUGAACUGUAAAACCAAUCAUAAUAUAAUCCGUAAUCGUUCCGACUGUUAAUAAAGAUUUCUGUAAAAAUAAAUUUGUUUUUUUGUGUUUUAAUAAAUUAAAGUACAUAAUUGGCGCAGUCGGUAGGAUACCCUCCGAUACAGAAUCAGACGCAGGAACGAUUACAACAACUAUUGGCAAAUACAACAGCAACAACAUCUCAAAAUAUACAACAACAAGACUCAACACUCCAGUUAACACCAGAGCAAUGUAUAAACCACUUUAGGCAUUUAAAACCUUUUAAUGGACAAGGAGAAUAUAAAUUACAAGAAUUUAUCAAGGCUACGGAAAGCUCAAUAAGUUUAUGCAACCAAAACUUACAACUGGAGCAAUACUGCAAGGAAAUCAUCAUAAACGAAAAAGUGCAAGGUGAAGCAAAACGCUGUAUACAACGUCUGGGGUCGCAGUUAACAUGGGACAACGUAAAAGCAGAGCUGACACAACACUUCAGACCAAGAGCAGAUUAUGCAGAGCUCAUCAACAGAUGCAGGAGUUUAAGACCAUUGGUGGUAACCGGCUACUUCUAUUUAACCCACCCCAGGCUGAAGCUCCGGGACACAGCCAGAUGCACACUGGAGUAGCUGGUGGCCGAUGCCCCAACCAGUGGCGGAUGACAUGCUUUGCCAGGUCGUCCCCCAAAGCAUCAACUACACUGGUUUCAUAACAAAGUUAAGAACUCUUUUUUUUUUUUAAUUAUUUUUUUUAUUUUAGUAUAUUAAUUUUAAGCUAAAAUUUUAUGUUUUAAUCCUUAAAACUGGUCAAACAAUUAAUUUACAGGAAAAAAACAACCACACAAUGAUGCAUCACUCAAAGAAACAUAAAAUGAUGGCGUUCAUCUCUAAGAUCCACAGAAUGUUAUCUGCACAGCACCUUAAAGCAGAAGUAAACUUCAUAUUGGACGCGUUAUGUAAACAGAAGAGGUUAUUUUAAGGACAAGGAACAACAUGGGCAUAGACAACUUAUGAUCAUCGCUCUAUGAAUUUGAUAAACAACUAAAGCAACAUAAUAUUCGGACAUCGGAAAUCAACAGUAAAUACCAAGUGAGGAACGCGUUAAAUUCGGGUAUGGAUAAAUUGAAGAAACAUGAAAGAUACACCAAAAGAAGAGACAAGGCUUAAAGAAAAUUUGAGUGAGAUAAAACGGGCAAGGAAAGCAGGAAUUAACAGGAAUUUCGAUUCAAUGGUUGCAAAACAUAUUUACGAAACGGAUCACAUAAUUAUAGAGGACGAAUUGAAGGUAUUAAAAGAGGUAAAGAUGAACAAAUCAAACCUGGAAUACCUACUGAACACGAACGAAGAAGAAAAUCAGCUUUAGUGAAGUGGAUGUGCAGCACACGAAAUAUAUUAGCAAAAAUAAAAGUAUCUUAUUCCGCAUGAUUUCAAUAUUGUAUUUAGUAAUUUUUAUUAAACAAUAGUCAAAAAGUUUAAUUCUGAGUCCGUAGCAAUGAAUUCUCAAAUUAAGUGGAAUCGUAAUCAUAAUAAAAACAAAAAUAUUGCAAGUAUGCAGAUAUUUUUAAUACCACAUUAAUAAAGAAAGAAGAAAAGAGAAUAAUAACGACUUUAAUAGAAGGUGAUUCAACGUUUUAUUAUUGUAUGGCCAACGAAAAACCAAGUAGAUUGGUAAUUUCAUUGAACAAUCAUUGGAAACAAUCGGCUAAUCGGGCGUCUCAGACCUUCAGCAAAAAUGAAAGCCUUAAUACAAUUUUUCGAGUUUGUUGAAAUCCAGGUCAAUUUGGGAGACAAAAUUUUUUUUUAAAAAUGUUACGAGUAUCUAUAUUAAAACUUUUUUAGAAAAGCA